rnacentral:tRNA from 3 species
GCGGGUGUGGCGGAAUGGCAGACGCGCAUGGUUCAGGUCCAUGUGGGGGCAACCCCGUGGAGGUUCAAAUCCUCUCACCCGCACCA